UGUACCUUCGCAACCAUGGAGGAUGAGCUUUCGUUGGUAGAAGAACAAAAGAAUGAAGUCCAACAAGAACAACAAGAACUCCUCCACGACCAAGUCGAACAACUGAAAUGUUCCAACACAGCCCUAUUUGCAGAGAUCGACAUGUGUGAGCGCUUCAUCGGUCGCAUUGAUCCUCGAGACCUGGUGUCCAAGGCUGGGGGAGACGGUCCGGGGGCAGGAGCCUCCAACCUCGAGGGUGGGCCAUUAUUUGAUCAAUAUUCUGUGCGGCCCUCACACCCCCCGUGAUUUUCUGGUCCUGGUGGGGGAGUUCACCGAGGGGAGGAGCACGUAUGUCCGGCCCCCCCCCAAAAGGAAACGGCAAAACCCUCUACGACAGUUGUGUGGACAGCGAGAGCAACCCCAGCAUCUAUGUUGUCUUUGAGAAACAACAGAUCUAUCCAGAGUAUCUCAUCGACUACUCAUGAGUUACAAUGCUGACUGUCAAACUUAUUAUGGGGUGCACUUCACUUUGACUGGGAUUAGUGGGUUUUGUUUCUUUAGUUGAAGGACAAGUAGUCGUUUUAUUUACUGAUAAUGUUAUGUUAUUCUCUGAAGACUAGACGUGUAGAGGGGGUUACUUUGUGCGAUUGUUAGUGUCUUGAUCAAUUUGUGAAAUUAUGCUUUUCCUUGACCAAACCUUUGCUGCAGGUCAUUAAUGGAGUAAAUAAUAGUUAAUGAGGGGCACAUAUAAUCUGGUGUUCAGAUAUGGAAUGAACUGGUUGUAAUAUGUAUAUUACAGUGUAUUACACUACUUGUUGAAUAUUAGCUGAGCAAAAUCACAGAUUAAACUAUUCCAUCUGCCCACUGAGGAAACUGCAGAGGACCCAAAUAAAAACAAUAAUAUCAAUAUGUAUAGUCCAAAUGAAUUACUGUUGGGUCUCAAGAGCAGGACUGGAAAACAAAUUAAAAAUAUCAUAUUUGGUAACAAUAGCUAAGUAUUUCCUCCUAGCAUAUAACACUAUAGGGACAUUGAGUAAAUGUAAGUUUCUGUUCAAAUUAUACUGUAUUUGUUUGUUAAAAUGCUAUAAAUAAAGUAGAGAAGAAAAACAUCAA